ensembl:lncRNA
UGUACAGUGAUGUUAGGAUAUUCUCUGUACUGUCCUGUAAAGGCUGAAGUAGCCAAAAAUAAAAUGAAAAGAAAAUUAAAGAAAGGCGGCAUUUAAAAUGUAUUUUCUUGUGUAAUUAAGCUGUUGAAUUUUGAAGUAUCUAACAGCAUCUGUAUGUAACCUGCUGUUUUUAGUUCAUAACUCAAUUUCCACUCAUUCAUUUUCUUGACUGCUUAUUGAAUUCAAGACAAAUGGAUCAUCUGGUCACAGCUUUCACCAGCUCAGCUCUUCACUGUAAUCCAGAAGUGAUAAUAGCUCUCUGAACAGCUCUCCAGACUGGACAGCAAACUGAGUAAUUUUCUGGUUUACAAACUAAAUCAACUAAUCAAAAAACAUCAGACAAAAGGACAGAGAGUGAAAGAGAGGCUGUCUUUGGAAGUACAGGUGUUCAUGUUCUCAGUGAUUUCUGCCUUUGUGCAGAGACACACAUUCAUCAUCUUGUUCUCUGUGACAUUGUUGGUGCUGCUGAUGAUUUGCGGCAGUCAGGCUUCACAUUUUCUAGGCACAGUCAUGACCUACUACCCAAAGGACACUUUUGCAGAUGGAUCUGUCACACUUUCUGCAAAAAUGAUGACACAUGGAGUUGCCUCAGUGGUGACUUGGGACUGAAACCCACACACUAUAUGUGGUAAAACAAGAAAGCAGUGGAGACUGGUGUCAGAGAGAGGGAAUCAUGACUCGACAGGUUCCCAGCAACGCUCCGUUUGAACUUCGGUUGGAGGGUAGUGCAUGGAUAUCUAACGUCAAAAAUGGCAUUUCAUCAUGGAGAGCUGUGACUCGAAUGGAACUGAGGAACCGCUCUGACACCAGCAAAGCCAACACAUCACCUCAGACCACCAUCCUACCAGCUGUGAGAGUUCCUUCAAACUGUCAGAGAAAUUUCAGCCUGUUGAUGUUUGACCCUGAUGGAGACAAAGUUAAAUGCAGAUAUGGAAACUCCUCACUCUCAGAGUGUAACCCCUGCACUCCCCCGUCUGUCCUCAGCCUCUCAUCGUCCUCUUGUACUCUGUCAUUCAGCCCCACCAGCAGCAGUAAUGAAGGUUCGUAUGUAGUACAGCUGGUGAUGGAGGACUUCCCCAGACAGACCAUCACUCUGACUCAAACCAACGGGACACAAACAACAAUAACUACCAACGAUGCCAUCAGCAAAAUACCGAUUCAGUUUGCUUUGAAAGUUGAUCCUGCAGUGCCAUCCUGCACAGAAGGACUCUUUCUGCCCAAGUUUCUUCCUCCAACACCAGCCAACAGAGCUCAGCUCUACAACAAUGUCAGUCAGACUCUGGAAAUUAACAUCACUGCAGAGACACUUUACUCCACGGUCUCUGAGCUGUUCUACAGCGGGCCGUACACGUUAAUCAGCAGUACAUCAGGACCAGGACAGUUCACCCUGAGAUGGACACCAUCUGAAAGCGAAGACGGACAAAGCCUCCCCAUCUGUUUUGCCAGGCAGUUUCUGGGUCAGUCUCAUGUUUCAUAUAAAUGACUCUGUAGAAAUCUAUAUGGGAAAACAGCUGAAAUUCAGUGAAUACAUUUUUUUAAAGAUACAAUUUUUAUGUUAUCUAACGUGUUUCCUGUUGUGAGGAUUGUUCAGUCAUUAAAAGGUAGUUAGCUGUCUUUUCAGUCAAUAAAUAUUUUUUAUCUUUUGAGAUUACAAUUGUAGUCAGAAGGUAAAAUGAAAACCAGGAACUUGAUAACAAGAGAAAAACAUGUUAGAUAUGGAAACAAAGGACAACAAGAACAUGGGUAGAAGAUCAUGGAUUUAUCAAGUAAAUGAAUAUGGAUGCUCACUGGGACCUUCAAAUAGAAAGAGAAGAAGGGAACCUCUGCUUUAACCCUUUAAAGCCCAGGGUAUUGUAUUUGAUAUUUGAUGUGUUUUUGAGACUUUUACAUCAUCAGCAUGACUUCUUUUUUACCCUCAAAAAAUGAUAUUGAAACUGAAAUUGCGUGACACAUUUUUAAUGACUAAAUUGCAAAAAUAUGGCUUAUGUAGCAAAUGUGGUACAAAUUAAAACUCAUAUAUAUGCAGAUUAAAAUUUGAUAUAUUUUUAUAUAUUUUGUCUAGAGGUUCAACAAACACUCCAUUGUCAAAAAAAUUAAGAUGUCUUGCAGUUAUUUCAUGGCUCAGGUUUUAAAGGGCUAAUAUGUCUUGAUGCAUUCUCAAUCAUCCAGGUAAGGAAAUCUCCAAAAAGUUGAUUCUGUUUAUCUGGACGUAGCGUUUUCAGUGGAACAAACGUUUC